rnacentral:rRNA from 1 species
ACGAACGCUGGCGGCGUGCCUAAUACAUGCAAGUCGAACGCUUCUUUCCUCCCGAGUGCUUGCACUCAAUUGGAAAGAGGAGUGGCGGACGGGUGAGUAACACGUGGGUAACCUACCCAUCAGAGGGGGAUAACACUUGGAAACAGGUGCUAAUACCGCAUAACAGUUUAUGCCGCAUGGCAUAAGAGUGAAAGGCGCUUUCGGGUGUCGUUGAUGGAUGGACCCGCGGUGCAUUAGCUAGUUGGUGAGGUAACGGCUCACCAAGGCCACGAUGCAUAGCCGACCUGAGAGGGUGAUCGGCCACACUGGGACUGAGACACGGCCCAGACUCCUACGGGAGGCAGCAGUAGGGAAUCUUCGGCAAUGGACGAAAGUCUGACCGAGCAACGCCGCGUGAGUGAAGAAGGUUUUCGGAUCGUAAAACUCUGUUGUUAGAGAAGAACAAGGACGUUAGUAACUGAGCGUCCCCUGACGGUAUCUAACCAGAAAGCCACGGCUAACUACGUG